AAAAAAAAAUUAUUUAAGGUAGGAACCCCAUCAAUAUGGCACUCAAUGCUGAAAUGCUUACCAUACUGGGUAGGGUACAGCAUAAUUUAACAGAUUGGGGCCAGCCUACCUGUCAGAUGCAAAUUAACCUUAAAGGGUUGUUAUGCAUUUGAUUCUUCUGGAUCAAUUACUUUUAAGAAUUUUCUUUUUUUUCUUUUAUUUCUUUUUUUAUUUCAAAAUAUUAAGAGAGUACUUGCAGGUACAACAGGCAAAAAAUAUUUUUUUAAUAAAAAAAUAUUUUUAAAUGUUAAGAGGGUACAAGUUUUCAUCACAUGGAUAUCUUACGUAAUGCUUAAGUCAGGGCUUUUGGAGUGCCCACCACCAGAAUACUGUUCAUUGUACCCAGGGUUAAACAUCAAACGUGGAAGCCACUUGGAUUUAUAUUCCAACUCUACCAGUUUACCAAGCUGUGUGAUUGGUUUUGCUUUGUUGCCUGGGAUAGAGUGCAGUGGCUUCAUCAUGGCUCACUAGAACCUCAACUUCGUGUGCUCAAGAGGUCCUCCUGCCUCAGCCUUCUGAGUAGCUGGGAUUACAGGCCCAAGCCACAAAG